AUACUUCUUUCCUACGGUGUCUC
rnacentral:siRNA from 1 species